rnacentral:lncRNA from 1 species
CUAAACGAUGUCGUUCCUCAUCAUAUUUUCCAAAUGAUGCCGUUUCCCCCUCCUCUUCUCCAAACGACACCGUUUCUGUAACGGCCUCGGAAACUAAAAGGAAAUGUAUAUAUUUAUUCUAAGUGCAGAAGCAAAAUAAAAAUAGAUUAUGAUUAACAUCCCUUACACAAUAAUUAAAACGUAUAAAUGUAUGAAAGAAUAAACUAAUUAAAAGAAAUACUAUAAAUGAAUACUAUAAGGAAAACUAAUAAAUUUCUAGACUUCUACUCGUCGUCUUCCUGUAGAACGGGCUCGGGAACCAAGUCCUCCUGAUCUGAAAUGGUUAAGUAAGGAAUGAGCUACACUAGCCCAGUAAAGACAUCACACUAUUUCACUAUCACAGAAGUAAAGGUUAGUAGAAAAUAAAAACGACUAAUGAGGCAUAAUUUAUAACAAACUCAUUUAUCAAUAAUAAAAACCUUUGCUGUCCCCUUACCUCGGUGAGAUUCAUGAAAACAACUUAUGAGAAACAAUAACAUCAUAAACAUCAUAAGAGCAUGCACACUCUGUAACAUAACACAUAUGAUGCUUUUGUAUUUUAAUCAUCAGGCAACAAAUUUCCUCUUUUAUCAGCCUACUAGUAUCCAUAGGGAUCCAUAGGGGGUCCCUGCUACACGUGAACCAUUUACAUUAACAACUUAAUUCCAGGGCCGUCCCCAAACCCCGUCUGGUAUGGGCGCCAAAACCAUGAACCUCAAUACCCCGUCCGGUAUGAGGGUGAAACGGGCCGUCCCCAUACCCCAUCUGGUAUGGGUGCCAAAACACAUAAAGUCUUCAUACCCCGUUCGAUAUGAGAGACCACGUUUUUGGUAGGGUUCCUUAUGGACCCGGUUCGUCCACCAUCUCCCAAGAUAUCCAGUCAGGCUGUCGAUAUUAUCCAUUUAUCAAUUCACAUACCUUUUUUUUUAUUUUUCUUAAUCUCAAUUAUCCAAUCAAACAUAAACACGUAAACCAGUAACGAACAUCAAAUUAAGCAAACAUAACAUCGGGUUCACAAUAAUCAAACCAUAAUAAAUUAAACAAUGAAUAAUGCAUACGAAGCCACAUAAUAACAAAUCAGAUACUACACUAUAUUUAGACUGUAAAAUAAAUCANNN